rnacentral:lncRNA from 13 species
UAAGCCCUGAUUAAUCUAUUCAUUUUUACUUUUAUUUUAGAAAACACAAGGAAGAAUCUGUGAGAAAAUCACAGAGAUCUAAAGAAGGGGAAAGGAAGAACCUGCAUUUAAGAGAGAAGAGAUUAUCUGACUUGUCAAUGCAAGUUGGAAAACUGAAAAGAAGUGGCCCGGCGCUGUUUAGAGGAGCACUGGAUUGUUGUUACGCCCCAGAUGCUCGUAAUUUGGAGGAUUCUUCCAAACAUUACAACACAUGAAAGUGCCUGCAUCCUGCAUUGA